GGAGGAAAAGAAACCAACAGGGAUUGCCCCAGUAACGGCGAGUGAAGCGGCAACAGCUCAAAUUUGAAAUCUGGCUUCGGCCCGAGUUGUAAUUUGCAGAGGAUGCUUUUGGUGCGGUGCCUUCCGAGUUCCCUGGAACGGGACGCCACAGAGGGUGAGAGCCCCGUAUGGUCGGACACCAAUCCUGUGUAAAGCUCCUUCGACGAGUCGAGUAGUUUGGGAAUGCUGCUCUAAAUGGGAGGUAAAUCUCUUCUAAAGCUAAAUACCGGCCAGAGACCGAUAGCGCACAAGUAGAGUGAUCGAAAGAUGAAAAGCACCUUGAAAAGGGGGUUAAACAGUACGUGAAAUUGUUGAAAGGGAAGCACUUGUGACCAGACUUGGGCCGGGCGGCUCAUCAGGGGUUCUCCCCUGUGCAUUCCGCCCGGUACAGGCCAGCAUCGGUUCUUACCGGGGGAUAAGAACGGCAGGAACGUGGCUCCCUCUCGGGGGAGUGUUAUAGCCUGCCGUACGAUACCCUGGCGGGGACCGAGGUUCGCGCUUCCGCAAGGAUGCUGGCGUAAUGGUUACUAGUGACCCGUCUUGAAACACGGACCAAGGAGUCGUCCAUUAGAGCGAGCGUUUGGGUGUAAAACCCGCACGCGUAAUGAAAGUGAAAUUAGGUGAGAGCUUCGGCGCAUCAUCGACCGAUCCUGAUGUUCUCGGAUGGAUUUGAGUAAGAGUUUUAACGGACGGACCCGAAAGACAGUGAACUAUGCUUGUAUAGGGUGAAGCCAGAGGAAACUCUGGUGGAGGCUCGCAGCGGUUCUGACGUGCAAAUCGAUCGUCAAAUAUGAGCAUGGGGGCGAAAGACUAAU
rnacentral:rRNA from 1 species